rnacentral:rRNA from 1 species
CCCGCACAAGCGGUGGAGCAUGUGGUUUAAUUCGAUGCAGCGCGAAGAACCUUACCUACUCUUGACAUCCAGAGAACUUAGCAGAGAUGCUUUGGUGCCUUCGGGAACUCUGAGACAGGUGCUGCAUGGCUGUCGUCAGCUCGUGUUGUGAAAUGUUGGGUUAAGUCCCGCAACGAGCGCAACCCUUAUCCUUUGUUGCCAGCGGUUCGGCCGGGAACUCAAAGGAGACUGCCAGUGAUAAACUGGAGGAAGGUGGGGAUGACGUCAAGUCAUCACGGCCCUUACGAGUAGGGCUACACACGAGCUACAAUGGCGCAUACAAAGAGAAGCGACCUCGCGAGAGCAAGCGGACCUCAUAAAGUGCGUCGUAGUCCGGAUUGGAGUCUGCAACUCGACUCCAUGAAGUCGGAAUCGCUAGUAAUCGUAGAUCAGAAUGCUACGGUGAAUACGUUCCCGGGCCUUGUACACACCGCCCGUCACACCUUGGGAGUGGGUUGCAAAAGAAGUAGGUAGCUUAACCUUCGGGAGGGCGCUACCACUUUGUGAUUCAUGACUGGGGUG